GGCCCUGUAGCUCAGCUGGAUAGAGCAACUGCCUUCUAAGCAGUAGGUCCUGCGUUCGAGUCGCAGCAGGGUCA
rnacentral:tRNA from 1 species